rfam:Schistosoma haematobium scaffold3121_3, whole genome shotgun sequence.
AUCCAGCUGACGAGUCGUAAAUAGGACGAAACGCGCGUCCUGAAU